UCAGGACACAGCAUGGACAUGAGGGUCCCCACUCAGCUCCUGGGGCUCCUGCUGCUCUGGCUCCCAGGAUCCAGUGGGGAUAUUGUGAUGACCCAGACUCCAUUCUCCCUGCCCGUCACCCCUGGAGAGCCGGCCUCCAUCUCCUGCAGGUCUAGUCAGAGCCUCCUGCAUAGUGAUGGAAGAACCUAUUUGUAUUGGUACCUGCAGAAGCCAGGGCAGCCUCCACGGCUCCUAAUUUAUAGAGUUUCCAACCGGUUCUCCGGGGUGCCAGACAGGUUCAGUGGCAGUGGAUCAGGCACAGAUUUCACACUGAAAAUCAGCCGGGUGGAGGCUGAGGAUGUUGGGGUUUAUUACUGCAUGCAAGCUUUACAAAAUCCUCCCACGUUGAUACAGCCCUUAACAGAAACCUCCCUGUUUGCAUGGCCCAGCUGCCCACAUGUGCUGCUUGUCUGGGGAGCAGCUCAGCAGGGUCUCUGA